rnacentral:rRNA from 1 species
GACGAACGCUGGCGGCGUGCUUAAUACAUGCAAGUCGAACGGACAGGCCCUGCUUUUGUGGGGUGCUCGAGUGGCGAACGGGUGAGUAACACGUGAGUAACCUGCCCUUGACUUUGGGAUAACUUCAGGAAACUGGGGCUAAUACCGGAUAGGAGCUCCUGCUGCAUGGUGGGGGUUGGAAAGUUUCGGCGGUUGGGGAUGGACUCGCGGCUUAUCCGCUUGUUGGUGGGGUAGUGGCUUACCAAGGCUUUGACGGGUAGCCGGCCUGGGAGGGUGACCGGCCACAAUGGGACUGAGGUACGGCCCAGACUCCUACGGGAGGCAGCAGGGGGGAGUAUUGCACAGUGGGCGGAAGCCUGAGGCAGCAACGCCGCGUGCGGGAUGACGGCCUUCGGGUGGUAAACCGCUUUCGCCUGUGACGAAGCGUGAGUGACGGUAAUGGGUAAAGAAGCACCGGCUAACUACGUG